GCGCUUUUAAAUUCGAUUUGGUACAGUUUGUUUUGGAGCCUUUCUUUAUUGAGCGUAUUUCGACACAGUAUGUUUUUGACCCUGCUCGUAUUAAACCUUUUAUCGUUGCACAUUUAUUACGUUCCAGGUCUUUAAAUGCCAGUGUUCUGUAGCAGAUAGGAAAAGAGCAUUGUGACCUCUACCGGAGCUAAUCGGGGAUCAUCAUCGGCCCAUUUGUCAGGAUAAGCACAUUGUGGAGGGUGAUUUCCGGCUCCUUUUUUUUUUUUUUUUUUGGAACAGGGAGGGCAUCUUCACAGAGUCUUGCUUAUCCCUGGAGAGUCCGAGGGCAGAAACUUCUCACUGCUCUUAUUCUCAUUGCUCCCAGAACUGCUGAUAGCUAAGCGGCAGCAUCUUUUGCAGGAAAGCCUGGAGCGAUGCUUAGAAUGGAGGAAGAAAAAAGAAAAUAAACUGCCGGUGGUAUGAAAUUGCCAAAGGCAAACAGGAUGUGGAACGCGACUGGGAGGAGGCUCUUCAGAGGAGGCCGGAAAUUUGACGACUGCUGGGCGGCUCAGACAAGACAGGAUGCUCAAUGUCCAGCAUAUGCUCAGAGAUUUGGUUAAUAAAUAAUUCAAUUAACCGAGACCCAUCUGUUCCUGAUGCACUACCGGAGAUGCAAAGAUACCGAGCCCGACCAUCAGCAGACAGCUGUGUCUUUGGAUCCCGAACUAUUCCCUCGUUUUUCCCUCUUUUUUAUACUCAACUAUUUUAGCGGCGCAGUUGAAAUCUCGUCGAGGGGACACAGAGGCCACAGUAAUAUGUGACAACCGGAAAUAAAACGUUCCAUGAAUUAUUCAUUCAUAACCUUUAGAUGACCAAAUUAGAUUCCUCUCUUAACACCGCUCUAUGUUGCUGCCGCUCCUCUUUGUGUGUCCAGGGUUAAUUUGCACAUUAAUGAAUUAAAGCUAAUGAACAGAGC
rnacentral:lncRNA from 1 species